AAACCAACAGGGAUUGCCUCAGUAGCGGCGAGUGAAGCGGCAAGAGCUCAGAUUUGAAAUCGUGCUUUGCGGCACGAGUUGUAGAUUGCAGGUUGGAGUCUGUGUGGAAGGCGGUGUCCAAGUCCCUUGGAACAGGGCGCCCAGGAGGGUGAGAGCCCCGUGGGAUGCCGGCGGAAGCAGUGAGGCCCUUCUGACGAGUCGAGUUGUUUGGGAAUGCAGCUCCAAGCGGGUGGUAAAUUCCAUCUAAGGCUAAAUACUGGCGAGAGACCGAUAGCGAACAAGUACUGUGAAGGAAAGAUGAAAAGCACUUUGAAAAGAGAGUGAAACAGCACGUGAAAUUGUUGAAAGGGAAGGGUAUUGCGCCCGACAUGGGGAUUGCGCACCGCUGCCUCUCGUGGGCGGCGCUCUGGGCUUUCCCUGGGCCAGCAUCGGUUCUUGCUGCAGGAGAAGGGGUUCUGGAACGUGGCUCUUCGGAGUGUUAUAGCCAGGGCCAGAUGCUGCGUGCGGGGA
rnacentral:rRNA from 1 species